GGGCUACAUCCACACGUACCAGGGUAUUUUUGAAAACGGAGAUUUUUCUAUGCGUUUGCACCUUUCGUCCACACGUAAACGGCGUUUUCGGUCACUGAAAACGGAGAUUUUUAAAAACGCCUGCCAGGGUGGAUAUUUCCGAAAACUCCGUUUUUGCAUUUACGUGUGGACGAGAAAAACGGAGAAAACGCAGCGUCAAAGGUGUGCGCCUUUUUUGACGUCACACUGUGCGCCACGUUAUUGUUUCGGUGAAAUGAAUUUCUACAAUACUGUUAAUUGUACUCUCUGCAGUGUUUAAAUGCUUACAUAUACACACACAGUUACUGUCCCUCCACACAGAGGACUCGGUUCUGCUUCUAUGCCCCAUCUUUGUUUACUAUUUCCUACCGAGGCUUCUAGACUUCUGAUUGGCCAACAUUUCUACAUGGUUAGGAAUAUAUCGCCACCUGUUGCGUUGGCAUGUUCCUAGCAGCGUUUUCCUUCAUUUCUGCGUUUACGUGUGGACGGGAUUAUUUUUUAAAACGAAAACGGAAAAUCUCCGUGUACGUGUGGACGUAGCCUUGAUAUGCCCAACUAUAUACCAGGAUUAACUGCGAGUGAAAGGUUGAAGAAAAGUGGUGGACGGUCGAAGUGAGGCGGUCCAGAAAUCUUCAAAUGUCCAGAGUCAGAAGAGACUGAGAAGGAAGGUGAGAGGAGACAGGACAGAGGCUCUCCACCCCUGAUGAGACACCAGGACAGUGUGUGAGGAGGAGGAGGAGGAAAAGGAGCCAGCAACAGCUGAGAGAUGCAGAGGAGAACAGGGGGAGAACAAACAGCUCGCUGUAAUUGAGGGACUGGUAAAAACAUUGAAAACACUUUUCUCGAUAUUUGCUUCCUGUAUUUGCAGAAGUAUCUCCAACACAAACUGUAACAGCUGCAUACAGGGAACCACUCACUGAUGUUUAUCCUGCAGGACAGGAUCUGACAGGGAAAGAAAGAAAAAUAAGGGAACCACGGACAACUUUGAUAAUGCUUUGAUUUAUCCAGAAUAUAUUUAGUUCAAAUAUUGUCUUCAUCACAGUGGGAUUGUGCUGGUUUCAGUGGGAAAAGUAUGCAGCUCAUUUAAAUGCAAAGAGCUGUGAAAAGUUGUCCAUUCAUAAAACGUGUCAGUAUUUUAUAAGGAUGUCAUGUUUCUGUAUCACCUCUCUCCUGUUAGAGCCUCUUACCCAAAAGUCAGCCUGUUAAUGCUCUCAUAUCUUCAACAUCUUGAGUAAAUUAUACUGCACAGUUUUCUCAUCAAUAAAAGAAUAUCUACUGC
ensembl:lncRNA